GAUGAACGCUGGCGGCGUGCCUAACACAUGCAAGUCGAGCGGACAGACGAGGCUUUUGCUUGGCUGACGCUGGGGGCGGGCGGGUGAGUCACACGAGUAUACCCUACCUAUAAGAAUGAGAUCACUACGCGAAAGCGGAUAUAACAUCCGAUCAGAUGUUGAACCGCGGGGGUCUUUGGAGAAAGCCGUAUUUGCUGUCCCUAAUUGGGGGUUGCGAGUUGGAUUAGCUAGUUGGUAGGGUAACGGCUUACCAAGGCGACGAUGCGUAGCUGAGCUGAGAGGGUGAUCAGCCACACUGGAACUGAGACACGGUCCAGACUCCUACGGGAGGCAGCAGUGGGGAAUAUUCGGCAAUGGGCGAAAGCCUGACGGAGCAACGCCGCGUGUGUGAUGAAGGUCUUCGGAUCGUAAAGCUCUGUUAUUAGGGAAGAACAGAUGUGUAAGUAAAUAUGGACGUCUUGACGGUACCUAAUCAAAAAGCAACGGCUAACUACGUG
rnacentral:rRNA from 1 species